AACCACACUAUCGAUGAAUGGAUCCACUCGCGAGAUAAUGUGAUUGUUUCACCUAGGACGAGGACAUGGCAUGCUAUUACCAGCCAUCGCACGAAAUUAAUAGGAUGCCACGUCCUCAUCCUAGAUGGAAUAACCACUUUAUCCCAUGGGUGAAUCCAUUCAGUGGUAAUGUGGUU
rfam:Oryza meridionalis cultivar OR44 (W2112) chromosome 1, whole genome shotgun sequence.